rnacentral:rRNA from 1 species
AUUGAACGCUGGCGGCAUGCCUUACACAUGCAAGUCGAACGGCAGCACGGGAGCAAUCCUGGUGGCGAGUGGCGAACGGGUGAGUAAUAUAUCGGAACGUGCCCAGUAGUGGGGGAUAACUGCUCGAAAGAGCAGCUAAUACCGCAUACGACCUGAGGGUGAAAGCGGGGGAUCGCAAGACCUCGCGCUAUUGGAGCGGCCGAUAUCAGAUUAGCUAGUUGGUGGGGUAAAGGCCUACCAAGGCAACGAUCUGUAGUUGGUCUGAGAGGACGACCAGCCACACUGGGACUGAGACACGGCCCAGACUCCUACGGGAGGCAGCAGUGGGGAAUUUUGGACAAUGGGCGCAAGCCUGAUCCAGCAAUGCCGCGUGCAGGAAGAAGGCCUCGG